GCUAUCUCCUCCUCUCCCACCCUUCCUGCUUCUGCCAGGACCAAUGGAGCAGCAACCAGAGGGGGUGUGAACACCUGAACUACUGCCCCAAACCAUGGGCGGUAAAUGCUGUGUAAGACAGCCAAACACCCCCUCCCUGGAGAAGUCUGGUCCAAAUAAGGAUGCACUAGAGACUGAGAAGCUGAAGAGGCCAUGGGAGAAGCUCUUUUCUUACUCCUGCUUUCUGCCACCUGACUAAAACCUGAUGCUUCCCUGUGAUCCUGUGUGACAUGCAGUACCUCUGCUUUGGGACCUACUCACGGCAAUUUAAUUGUACUUGUAACUGAAGAUGUUGAAGAAAGAACCGAAUGGAAGAAGACGGAGAAGCAGAAACUCAAGCCAUCACCCCUGACAUGUCCUUGCAUCUUUCUUUACCCAGUUCAGAUUCUGCGGUUAUUAUUGUAAUCUCUGCUCUGCACAACUUGACUUCUCUUAGCCCUCUCUCUGCAAGCAUGUGUGGGGUGAACUCAACCAUCUACCUGCUCUAUGCCUGAAGAACAGCGAGCAUGGCUGGAACAAAACAAACAACCCUGAGGCAUGAUCUAUCUCAGUUAAUAUUCAUGACUGCAGAUGUCUACUGGACAAAUUGCCCCAAAAAUUUCUCUGCUAUGCUCGCAUUUCCAUUUUCUGAGUUGAAAAUCCAUAUCACCUCCUCUCCAAAUGUCCAGUUCUACAUCUUCUCCCCUUGAACUGGAUGAUGGUAUAUGUCACCACACACUCAACUGAAGAAAUGGGAGCAGACUGGACCCCCAUCUUCCUACCACCACAUUCUCCCUUUUCCUUCCCUCUAAAUACAAACUAAGUACUGUGAAAAUAAUUCAGUAGACAAUCCUAAAAGAACUCUGAAAUGUGGAAAGAAGGUGGAUCGGCUAGGAACCUCAAGAUUUAAAAAUGUACACCAUGAUGAAUUCUCUUGGUUUUCUUUUUAUCUAUCAUAUGUCUCAGACUGGACACCAGAAAUGUCUGCAAUCCAGAACCACUAAGGGGUAUAGAGGAAAUAAAACAAAAACAAGAACAGCCUGCUCUCUAUAGCCAAAGGAAGGGUAGCCUCACAGAAACUGUGCAGGGAGACCCAUACCUAGUGGCAAUGACAGGCUAAACUGCCUGUAGUAGUGACACUAGUACCCAGAUGGAUCAAUCCGUCUCAUGCUCCAAAUCCACUGGUAGCAGCAGGCAUGAUCUGCCCACAGCAGCAGCAAUAAUGGAACCCAGGUUUAUCUACCCUCUCCAUACCCCACAUCAGCCAGCAGCAGUGGCCCAAGCUAUCCUCCGAAGCAGUAGCAGCAGAACCCACCACAUUUCUUAUCUGCUGAUGGAAGCAGGCCUGAUCUACCUUCCUGAUGAAAGAGACUGAAGAAGAUACAAAUAAAUGGAAACAUUUUC